AUGUAAGACAAUCUGUGUCUUUAAAUGGGGAUAAAAUUAUCCUAAAAGAAAUAAAUCCUGGUUUUUCUUUUAAGUGAAGCGUCUUGU
rnacentral:pre_miRNA from 1 species